CCACCGUUUGCAAGAAUUUUAUCAACCCAAGCUGGGGUUAGUUUGUUUAUUUUUCAUUCGUUUUUGGAGUAAUGUUUUGACUCCUUGGCUCUGAAAUUAAGCCACAAAAAAAAAAAGCUACCAUUCCAUAAAGAAACCUACUCCACAAUUCCACGGCUCGCAAUACUCCCACAAACACUGGGGCUCUCCUCCUACUGUGCUCUUGCUGCAGUGCAGACUGCUGCCACCUGCCCUCAAAGAAGAAAUAUUACAGUUCACGUUUGGAAGACAUCUCACCACACUAUGGAUUUAAUCCUGGUUAAGUAUGUUGCCUGUGGCACCCUUAAACACGUGAGUGGCUUAUCAAUUUUCCCCUACUCACCUUCCAUCAUUCCAUUAAUUAUUUCUUCUAAUUUAUAUCCCUCUCUCUUUUUUUGCAGUUGCAAUUUACUGACGUCAUGUCUCACAUGCAUGCCUAACAUUGGACCUGGAUGUGGAUGAGGAGGAAGCAAAUAGAAAAACACAUGAGGUUUUUUCAGCACUUCAUAGUUUUUUGACAUCGAAAUAAUUUCUUCUAUGCCAUUGUCAGUGUAUCACCUCCACACUUCCCAGAGCUACAAAUCUAAACUCAUGCUUUAUCUUGGCCCUGGUAUUUUGAUUCCAUUCUGACCACCAGGGAUCUGAAUGCUGCUCAGCUCCAUGCAAGAUAACAUAUUUAUCAGCAUAUGACACGCACAUUUAACUCCUGAAAAGCUUUCUGUUAAAGACGGAAGAAAGAGUGAAGAUAAUGUUGAAGAUAAAGUUCUUAAAGGGUCCCAGUAGGUUGCAGUUUGCGCAGUCCUCCUUGAUAUAUCAAUCCCCCUUCAAAUCACAGUGUCCCUUUCACAGUCACGUUCUAAAGAUCAUGCACUUACCCUGAGGAGGAGCAAUGGUCCUGCCAGAAGCCGAUGCUGGAGGGUCUUGAAUGCAGCUUUCUGUUAAAGACGGAAGAAAGAGUGAAGAGUCAAGCUCUAUGAUUUUGACCCCUGCUGCUGAAUCCAGGGACAUCCUCUGCCAGAAGGACAUCUCUUAGCUCCGCCUCCCACUCUCGCAACUUGAUAGGCUUUCCUCGGUUUUGUCCUAGUCGAAGCCUCUGCAUCUUCUUUGUAACCGUUGCCCGACAAUCAUAGAACCUGCAAAUGUACAUAAACAUUACAAUUACAUUAAUAAAAAAACAAAUACUUAGAUUAAUGUUUUUUGAAAACCACAUUUCUUUUCACAUUGUGAUGGUUAUAUGUAUACUGUUCAGCAUGUGGCUGUGACAAAUAAAUUUUUUGGUUACGUUGAACUGUUA